GCUCAUUUUCAUUGCGGUAAUUCCCAUUUUAACUCGCUAAACAAAAACUUACUAAAUGAUUGAUUUUUUUUAGGAAAGGCUGUUGUAACAUUGCAAAGAAUUAUAUUUUUAACGCCUUUCGGAACAAUUUUGGUUCAUUAAAAGAACGUGGGUAAGUCUUAUUUAAUUGUGAGAUAAUUAAAUAUAUUAUUUUAAAACAAUUAGAAUUAUAACGCUCGCAUUCAGGUUUUCCGAUAUAAGCCUAUAUUAUAUAUGUAAUGGUCCAAAAAGAUUUACAAUUAAGUAGACUCUAUAUAGGCCUACUCUUGUUUUAUGUGUCAUUAAAUCUACCAUUAUAUUAUAUCUUCUUAUGUAUCUUUUAAAAAUACAGGGGGGGG